CGAGCCGGCUAGCCGCCGCCGCCGCCGCCGCCGCCCCCGCGCAGCCUUCCCUCUGGCGGGAAGGUCCUCAGGGUGACUCACGCUCUGGGCCCCUACCACCAGCAGCCCCGCCUCCACGGGAAGCCCCGCCUCCCACGCCCGGCGCCCCAGGUCCCACUCCCCCUCUAGUGGGCAGGGCGGGAAUGCAUCCUUCGUUCCCAGAUCCGCUCCUCGCCAGGCUGCGGGGAAGUGGCCUGAGGCGGUGGGGCCUGUUAUGGACACGCUGCAAGCCUCAGGGUUCUCAUCUUUAAAAUGGAUGUGAUAGGGGCGCCUGGGUGGCUCAGUCAGGUUUUCAAAUGGAGCCAGAAGCCAGUAAGGAGAUGGGCCUUAUGCACAUCCUCACCGGUAGGAGAACCACAAAUGUUGGAACCGGGCCAAACUGCAACUCUUCCAGGGACUCGGCCCAAACACCUGCAGCUUGCUAUACUCUGCCUCUUCUCUCAGUUGACAGAGUUACAUUGUGCUUCGCUAAGUAGGAAUGCACAAAUGCUUUCUUCACAGCUUCUAGGCCUCUUCAUUUUGAUACAAUUUGAAAUGUGUGGGGGUGGUGGGUGGACGAAUUCAAGCACCGCACAAAGCAUCUUGAUAUAUUGAUCAACUCAAUUCACUUGUUAACUGAGAUUCAUCAGCUGUUAACAUUUGCUGCAUUACCUUUAUGUUCUCUGUCUCCCUCUUUUUACAACAAAUUGCACACAUUGAUUGUAUACAUCUUGAUGAAUUUUCUCCUGUGCACUCCCCUGUAAUACCAUCACUACAACGAAGGUACUAAACAUAUUCAUCACCUCCAGAAAUGGAUGUGUGUUCUUUCGUGGUUAUUUCUUUCUUUGGGUAGGAACAUGUAGCAUGUGAUCUAUCUCCUGGAAGCAGAGGUGUGGAAACAAGGUGUGGGAGGGAAACAUGAAGGAAGCAGAGAGGGAGCAAUUGAUGUGAUUUUAUGCAAGGUGGUGUAGACAACCAUCCCUUUGACCCAGGUUUCUCCAUUACUUUGCAGAGGCCUGCUAAUUAUUUCUCUUCUCAUCCUUUCCCUCUCUGUGAUCAUUUCUUCAUU